rnacentral:rRNA from 1 species
UACGAAGGGGGCUAGCGUUGUUCGGAAUUACUGGGCGUAAAGCGCACGUAGGCGGAUCGAUAAGUCAGAGGUGAAAUCCCAGAGCUCAACUCUGGAACUGCCUUUGAGACUGUCGAUCUGGAGCAGAGUAGAGGUGAGUGGAAUUCCGAGUGUAGAGGUGAAAUUCGUAGAUAUUCGGAGGAACACCAGUGGCGAAGGCGGCUCACUGGACUCUUGCUGACGCUGAGGUGCGAAAGCGUGGGGAGCAAACAGG